AAUGGAAUAACAGCUGCCCACAAGAAGACUGUGAUCUUAAUAUGAGAUGAUGCCUGAAGAUUGAGAAUCAAAGUGCCUUGGUACACUCCCAAAAUCCUACAUGAGCACAAAGGACAACAGACCUACUAAAGAGUAUGAUCUUUCAGACCCUCAGACCAGCAAGACCUCAAGAGAAAAAGACAUCCUGUGGGCAAAUUCCUUCCUGGGUUUUCCUAUCACAGUGGCUGUGCUGCACAUCUGGCCUUCUACAUCCUAACCCAUAACCAAUGAAGAUUAAGCUGAUUUAGGCCUAUAUCCAAUCUGACCUCAAUCUUGGUGCUCACACUCCACUGAGCAGAGAUAUUAAUGGGUACAUCUUUUUUGGGUUUUUUGUUGUUGUUGUUGUUUUGUUUGUUUUUCCUUUUGCCUAAAACAUCACUCCUAAGAAUUCCAUAAAACUUUUCCAAAUAAACCCAACUCUUUCCUACCUGC